UCCAGACUCCUACGGGAGGCAGCAGUGGGGAAUAUUGCACAAUGGGGGGAACCCUGAUGCAGCGAUGCCGCGUGGAGGAAGAAGGUUUUCGGAUUGUAAACUCCUUUUAUCAGGGACGAUAAUGACGGUACCUGAAGAAAAAGCUCCAGCUAACUACGUGCCAGCAGCCGCGGUAAUACGUAGGGGGCAAGCGUUAUCCGGAUUUACUGGGUGUAAAGGGAGCGUAGACGGCGAAGAAAGUCUGAGGUGAAAGCCCGCGGCUCAACCGCGGAACUGCUUUGGAAACUUUUUUGCUGGAGUACCGGAGAGGUAAGCGGAAUUCCUAGUGUAGCGGUGAAAUGCGUAGAUAUUAGGAGGAACACCAGUGGCGAAGGCGGCUUACUGGACGGUAACUGACGUUGAGGCUCGAAAGCGUGGGGAGCAAACAGGAUUAGAUACCCCAGUAGCG
rnacentral:rRNA from 1 species